rnacentral:rRNA from 1 species
GUCGAACGAGAACGGACUUAAGCUUGCUUAAAUUGUCAGCUAAGUGGCGCACGGGUGAGUAAUGUAUAGUUAACCUGCCCUCGAGAAAGGAAUAACAGAUGGAAACGUCUGCUAAUGCCCUAUAUGCCCAUAAUACAUAAGUAUGCUGGGGAAAUGCUUUAGUGCUCGAGGAUGGGACUGUAUGGUAUCAGAUAGUUGGUGAGGUAAUGGCUCACCAAGUCAAUGACGCCUAACUGGUUUGAGAGGAUGAUCAGUCACACUGGAACUGAGACACGGUCCAGACUCCUACGGGAGGCAGCAGUGGGGAAUAUUGCACAAUGGAGGAAACUCUGAUGCAGCAACGCCGCGUGGAGGAUGACACUUUUCGGAGCGUAAACUCCUUUUAUAUAGGAAGAUAAUGACGGUACUAUAUGAAUAAGCACCGGCUAACUCCGUGCCAGCAGCCGCGGUAAUACGGAGGGUGCAAGCGUUACUCGGAAUCACUGGGCGUAAAGAGCGUGUAGGCGGGUUAUUAAGUCAGAAGUGAAAUCCUAUGGCUCAACCAUAGAACUGCUUUUGAAACUGGUAACCUAGAGUAUGGGAGAGGUAGAUGGAAUUUCUGGUGUAGGGGUAAAAUCCGUAGAGAUCAGAAGGAAUACCGAUUGCGAAGGCGAUCUACUGGAACAUUACUGACGCUGAGACGCAAAAGCGUGGGGAGCAAACAGGAUUAGAUACCCUGGUAGUCCACGCCCUAAACGAUGUACACUAGUUGUUGCCAUGCUAGACAUGGCAGUAAUGCAGUUAACACAUUAAGUGUACCGCCUGGGGAGUACGGUCGCAAGAUUAAAACUCAAAGGAAUAGACGGGGA